rnacentral:lncRNA from 1 species
GUUGGGAAAGCCGCGGAGAAAUGGACGUGGUCCGCGCGUCGAAGCGAAGAGGCGCUUCUACCGAGAGCCUGGGAAGUGUCAGCCCGUAGCCUUGGCUCUGUGUACGUUAGCGGCGGAGGCUUGGAAACGUGCUCGUCACGAGCGGCUGAGGGAGGUUUUAUAUAUAUAUAUAUAUAUAUGUAUGUAUAUCUACUGCAAUUCGUGACAGCCUUUAGCGAAAAAGCUC